GAAGAGGGCCAGUUAGCUCAGGUGGUUAGAGUGUGGUGCUAAUAACGCCAAGGUCGCAGGGAACUUUCUUGUCCCCUUCA